rnacentral:rRNA from 1 species
UAAGGAAUAUUGGUCAAUGGAGGCAACUCUGAACCAGCCAUGCCGCGUGCAGGAAGACGGCCCUCUGGGUUGUAAACUGCUUUUAUUCGGGAAUAAACCUAUCUACGUGUAGAUAGCUGAAUGUACCGAAGGAAUAAGGAUCGGCUAACGCCGUGCCAGCAGCCGCGGUAAUACGGAGGAUCCAAGCGUUAUCCGGAUUUAUUGGGUUUAAAGGGUGCGUAGGCGGCCUAUUAAGUCAGGGGUGAAAGACGGUGGCUCAACCAUCGCAGUGCCCUUGAUACUGAUGAGCUUGAAUGAACUAGAGGUAGGCGGAAUGUGACAAGUAGCGGUGAAAUGCAUAGAUAUGUCACAGAACACCGAUUGCGAAGGCAGCUUACAAUGGUUUUAUUGACGCUGAGGCACGAAAACGUGGGGAUCAAACA